UACGUAGGGGGCAAGCGUUGUCCGGAUUUACUGGGUGUAAAGGGCGUGUAGGCGGGAUGAUAAGUCAGAUGUGAAAUGCCGGGGCUCAACCCCGGAACUGCAUUUGAAACUGUCAUUCUUGAGUGUGGGAGAGGGAAGCGGAAUUCCUAGUGUAGCGGUGAAAUGCGUAGAGAUUAGGAGGAACACCAGUGGCGAAGGCGGCUUUCUGGACCAUGACUGACGCUGAGGCGCGAAAGCGUGGGGAGCAAACAGG
rnacentral:rRNA from 1 species